GACGAACGCUGGCGGCGUGCCUAAUACAUGCAAGUCGAGCGAAUGUAAGGGGGCUUGCUCCCUGAAGUUAGCGGCGGACGGGUGAGUAACACGUGGGCAACCUGCCCGUAAGACUGGGAUAACUUCGGGAAACCGGAGCUAAUACCGGAUACGUUCUUUUCUCGCAUGAGGAAAGAUGGAAAGAUGGUUUCGGCUAUCCCUUACAGAUGGGCCCGCGGCGCAUUAGCUAGUUGGUGGGGUAAUGGCCUACCAAGGCGACGAUGCGUAGCCGACCUGAGAGGGUGAUCGGCCACACUGGGACUGAGACACGGCCCAGACUCCUACGGGAGGCAGCAGUAGGGAAUCUUCCGCAAUGGACGAAAGUCUGACGGAGCAACGCCGCGUGAGCGAAGAAGGCCUUCGGGUCGUAAAGCUCUGUUGUCAGGGAAGAAUAAGUGCCAAAGUAACUGCUGGCACCUUGACGGUACCUGACCAGAAAGCCACGGCUAACUACGUGCCAGCCGCCGCUGUAA
rnacentral:rRNA from 1 species